rnacentral:rRNA from 1 species
CUACGGGAUGCAGCAGAUGCGGAUCAUUUACAAUGCACGAAAGUGUGAUAAUGCGAACCAAAGUGCCAUUCAUUUUUGAAUGGCUUUUCUUUAGUGUAAAAAUCUAGAGGAAUAAGGACUGGGAAAGACUGGUGCCAGCCGCCGCGGUAAUACCAGCAGUUCAAGUCGCAUCCAUUUUUAUUGGGUCUAAAACAUCCGUAGCUUGUCUAUUAAGUCUCUUGUGAAAUCCUAUGUCUCAAGCAUGGGGCUUGCAGGAGAUACUGGUAGGCUAGAGAUCGGUAGACGUAAGGAGUACGCCGGGGGUAACGGUCAACUGUGUUAAUCCUCGGUGGACUAACGAUGAGCGAAGGCACCUUACGAGGACGAAUCUGACAGUCAGGGAUGAAGGCCAGGGGCGCAAAACGGAUUAGAUACCCUCGUAGUC